CAAUAGCGUAUAUUAAAGUUGUUGCAGUUAAAAAGCUCGUAGUUGGAUUUCUGGUGGGAGCGAUCGGUCUGGCGCUUAGCGCGAGUACUUGCAUCGUCUCCGGCCAUCCUUGGGGAGAGUCUGUCUGGCAUUAAGUUGUCGGGCAGAGGAUCCUCAUCGUUUACUGUGAAAAAAUUAGAGUGUUCGAAGCAGGCUUAUGCCGUUGAAUAUAUUAGCAUGGAAUAAUAAGAUAGGACUUUGGUACUAUUUUGUUGGUUUGCGCACCAAAGUAAUGAUUAAUAGGGACAGUUGGGGGUAUUCGUAUUCCGUUGUCAGAGGUGAAAUUCUUGGAUUUACGGAAGACGAACUACUGCGAAAGCAUUUACCAAGGAUGUUUUCAUUAA
rnacentral:rRNA from 1 species